AGCUGCACCGCCCUCUGCAUCCUUCCAGGCGCCCUGUGGUUCGCUGUGCCUGCUCCAAGACUGGCUCUCUUUGAGGUCUCGGGUUUCCUCCCAGUCCCGCAUCCACUGGGGGGCCGGAGGAGCAAGAGAAUGUCACAGCUUCCCCUCCCGGGAUCCGAGAUCCUAACUAAGGGAAUCCCCUUGCCUCUCCCCACUGGGGCGCAGUCUGACGUGCUUGCUGCUCUGAGCACGCACACAGUUACCGGUGUAUUUAAUUUAUUCUAUUUUUAAUGAAAUGAGAGGGCUGCUGUCAGGGUGACAUCUGCAUUGGUGGAGUUAGAGUGAAGUCUUUCACCGAACUGUCCUCCAGGCUCCGCAGUCCUAGCAAGCCCCAGGCACUCGCCUUUCCCAGAGACAGAUGCCGAGCUCCACGUCGGAAUGCUAAGUGUCCACCGCAUUGCUUUAAGGAUCAUGCAAAGGGUGUCAUGGUGCCCAACUUAUUACUUGAACGCUGGGAUCUAACUCCCUUCUUUACGAAGAGCAAGCUUUCAUGACUACAGAGCCACCACCCAGACCCACUCCCUUGCUGCUGCUUUUAAACUGUAUACCAGCCAGAUGUGAUGCUGCAUAUGUGUAAUCCAAGCCCUUGGGAGUUGAGGCAGGAUAAUCAGGAGUCCAGUAAUUCACAACUCAUAACAAGUUCAAGGCCAGCCUGUUCAAAUGCUAUCUUGUCUCAAAAAUAAAUAAACAAUAAAUAAAU